rnacentral:rRNA from 1 species
UACGAAGGGGGCUAGCGUUGCUCGGAAUCACUGGGCGUAAAGCGCACGUAGGCGGACUCUUAAGUCGGGGGUGAAAGCCCAGGGCUCAACCCCGGAACUGCCUUUGAUACUGGUAGUCUCGAGUCCGGAAGAGGUGAGUGGAAUUCCGAGUGUAGAGGUGAAAUUCGUAGAUAUUCGGAGGAACACCAGUGGCGAAGGCGGCUCACUGGUCCGGUACUGACGCUGAGGUGCGAAAGCGUGGGGAGCAAACAGG